AUUUUAAUUUUGUUCUUGCUUGAUUGAUUGAUUUGAUAAAUCUGAAGACCGGUCGGCUUUUCUCUUCUGUCGGCGAUACGCUCCUGGCCUUAACUGGCCGGGUCGUGCCUCCGGCGCUGUUACUUUGAAGAAAUUAGAGUGCUCAAAGCAAGCCUACGCUCUGUAUACAUUAGCAUGGGAUAACAUCAUAGGAUUUCGAUCCUAUCGUGUUGGCCUUCGGGAUCGGAGUAAUGAUUAAUAGGGACAGUCGGUGUAGAAACCCGUUAAAAAA
rnacentral:rRNA from 1 species